CGGGGUGUAGCUCAGUCUGGUAGAGUACUUGCAUGGGGUGCAAGGGGUCGUAGGUUCGAAUCCUGUCACCCCGACCA
rnacentral:tRNA from 1 species